AGGACGAACGCUUGCGACGUGCCUAAGAAAUGCAAGUCGAACGGACAGUAGCAAUACUGUUAGUGGCGAACGGUCGCGUAACACGUGGGCAACCUGCCCCGAAGCGGGGGACAACAACCCGAAAGGGUUGCUAAUACCGCAUGUGAAUCGUGGUGGCAUCACCAAGGAUUCAAAGCCGCAAGGCACUUCGGGAUGGGCCCGCGGCCUAUCAGCUAGUUGGAGAGGUAACGGCUCACCAAGGCUUCGACGGGUAGCUGGUCUGAGAGGACGGCCAGCCGGAUUGGGACUGAGAUACGGCCCAGACUCCUACGGGGGGCAGCAAUUAGGAAUCUUGCGCAAUGGGCGAAAGCCUGACGCAGCGACGUCGCGUGAAGGAUGAAAUCUUUCGGGAUGUAAACUUCUUUACCAGGGAAGAAUAAUGACGGUACCUGGUGAAUAAGCCCGGCUAACGUACGUGCCAGCAGCCGC
rnacentral:rRNA from 1 species